rnacentral:tRNA from 1 species
GGUUAUAGCUUAGCUGGUAAAAAGCAUCGGUUUGUGACACCGGAGACCGCGGGUUCGAGACCCGCUG